rnacentral:rRNA from 1 species
CAGCACCUCAAGUGGUCAGGAUGAUUAUUUGGCCUAAAGCGUCCGUAGCCGGCCGAGUAAGUCCCCCGUUAAAUCCAGCGUCUCAAGCGUUGGACUGCGGGAGAUACUACUUGGCUAGAGAGUGGGAGAGGUCAGCGGUAUUCUGGGGGUAGGGGCGAAAUCCUUUGAUCCCCGGAGGACCACCAGUGGCGAAGGCUGCUGACUAGAACACGUCUGACGGUCAGGGACGAAAGCUGGGGUAGCGAACCGGAUUAGAUACCCGAGUAGUCC